rnacentral:tRNA from 1 species
GGGGAUUUAGCUCAGUGGUAGAGUGCUUGCCUAGCAAGCGCAAGGCCCUAGGUUCAGUCCCCA